AUUGAACGCUGGCGGCAGGCCUAACACAUGCAAGUCGAGCGGAUGAAGGGAGCUUGCUCCUGGAUUCAGCGGCGGACGGGUGAGUAAUGCCUAGGAAUCUGCCUGGUCGUGGGGGAUAACGUCCGGAAACGGGCGCUAAUACCGCAUACGUCCUGAGGGAGAAAGUGGGGGAUCUUCGGACCUCACGCUAUCAGAUGAGCCUAGGUCGGAUUAGCUAGUUGGUGGGGUAAAGGCCUACCAAGGCGACGAUCCGUAACUGGUCUGAGAGGAUGAUCAGUCACACUGGAACUGAGACACGGUCCAGACGCCUACGGGAGGCAGCAGUGGGGAAUAUUGGACAAUGGGCGAAAGCCUGAUCCAGCCAUGCCGCGUGUGUGAAGAAGGUCUUCGGAUUGUAAAGCACUUUAAGUUGGGAGAAAGGGCAGUAAGUUAAUACCUUGCUGUUUUGACGUUACCAACAGAAUAAGCACCGGCUAACUUCGUG
rnacentral:rRNA from 1 species